UACGUAGGGUGCAAGCGUUGUCCGGAAUCAUUGGGCGUAAAGCGCGCGUAGGUGGCUUCGUAAGUCCGUUGUGAAAGUCAAAGGCUCAACCUUUGAAAGCCGAUGGAUACUGCGGAGCUAGAGUACGGAAGAGGCGAGUGGAAUUCCUGGUGUAGCGGUGGAAUCGCGCAGAUAUCAGGAGGAACACCAAUAGCGGAAGGCAGCUCGCUGGGACGUUACUGACGCUGAUGCACGAA
rnacentral:rRNA from 1 species